UCUAUUGAAUAUAUACAAUUUGCUUUUAUACUAACAUAGUUGGUAUUCCAACUAUAGCGAUAAACGAAUUUCGUAAUAAACAUUGCGGACGUGGGGGCAGUACCCACCACCUCCACCAAAAAAAUAUGGGGGUGAACUAGGAUCGACGGAUGUCUAAAAGCUAUUCUUUUGCUCGGUAUUGUUCCACCGUAAAGGGCUAUUUUAUAAUUGCAAAUGAUAAAUUUGCUCUUGCUGCUUAAUUAAUUUUAAUUAAGUAACGGGGUUCGGGGCACCUGGCAACAGAACGCCCCUUAAU
rnacentral:tmRNA from 1 species